rnacentral:sRNA from 1 species
AGGUGAUGAGCCCUCUAACAAGGGUCAAGAGAUUGUGCCCAAAGACCGAAAAUAGAAGUAUAUCGAACUCCUAGUACUGCUCAGAGUAGGCUGUAGAUAGCUGAUUCCAUCGAGGGCUUCCAUUGGACUUGCGUCCUCCGAACUGUAGAUUCACCGUUUUCCUAACUUCUAGUCAUUCGUGGGCCCGCUUGAUAUUGUAAAUUAAAUUAAAUUAAUUUACAUGCAUUGGUUUACUGUGUCA